rnacentral:rRNA from 1 species
GAUGAACGCUGGCGGCGUGCCUAAUACAUGCAAGUCGAGCGAACAGACGAGGAGCUUGCUCCUCUGACGUUAGCGGCGGACGGGUGAGUAACACGUGGAUAACCUACCUAUAAGACUGGGAUAACUUCGGGAAACCGGAGCUAAUACCGGAUAAUAUAUUGAACCGCAUGGUUCAAUAGUGAAAGACGGUUUUGCUGUCACUUAUAGAUGGAUCCGCGCCGCAUUAGCUAGUUGGUAAGGUAAUGGCUUACCAAGGCAACGAUGCGUAGCCGACCUGAGAGGGUGAUCGGCCACACUGGAACUGAGACACGGUCCAGACUCCUACGGGAGGCAGCAGUAGGGAAUCUUCCGCAAAGGGCGAAAGCUUGACGGAGCAACGCCGCGUGAGUGAUGAAGGUCUUCGGAUCGUAAAACUCUGUUAUUAGGGAAGAACAAAUGUGUAAGUAACUAUGCACGUCUUGACGGUACCUAAUCAGAAAGCCACGGCUAACUACGUG